GACGAACGCUGGCGGCAUGCCCAAUACAUGCAAGUAGAACGCAGUUGCGAACGGGUGAGUAACGAGUAGGUAACUGCCUCAAAGCGGGGGAUAACUAUUGGAAACGAUAGCUAAUACCGCAGACUGUGAGAUGGACCUGAGUUGUAUUAGCUAGUUGUUGAGGUAAAGGCUCACCAAGGCGACGAUACAUAUCCGACCUGAGAGGGUGAGCACCCCCCCUUGUACUGAGACACGGCCCAGACUCCUACUCUAAUCAGCAUUAUUUAAUCUUCGGAAAUUGACGGAAGUCUGACGAAGCAACGCCGCGUGAGUUAAGAAGUUUUUCGGAUCUUCAAACUCUGUUGUUAGAGAAGCGUUAACUAAUCAGAAAGGGACGGCUAACUACGUGCCAGCAGCCGCGGUAAUAC
rnacentral:rRNA from 1 species